GAUGAACGCUGGCGGCGUGCCUAAUACAUGCAAGUAGAACGCUGAAGGAGGAGCUUGCUCUUCUGGAUGAGUUGCGAACGGGUGAGUAACGCGUAGGUAACCUGCCUGGUAGCGGGGGAUAACUAUUGGAAACGAUAGCUAAUACCGCAUGACAACAGUUAUUGCAUGAUAACUGUUUAAAAGGGGCAACUGCUCCACUACCAGAUGGACCUGCGUUGUAUUAGCUAGUUGGUGAGGUAACGGCUCACCAAGGCGACGAUACAUAGCCGACCUGAGAGGGGGAUCGGCCACACUGGGACUGAGACACGGCCCAGACUCCUACGGGAGGCAGCAGUAGGGAAUCUUCGGCAAUGGACGGAAGUCUGACCGAGCAACGCCGCGUGAGUGAAGAAGGUUUUCGGAUCGUAAAGCUCUGUUGUAAGAGAAGAACGAGUGUGAGAGUGGAAAGUUCACACUGUGACGGUAGCUUAUCAGAAAGGGACGGCUAACUACGUG
rnacentral:rRNA from 1 species